rnacentral:lncRNA from 1 species
GUCAAAGGUAUCCAACUUAUCACAAGAUGUUGGAAAAAAAUUAAUUAAAUAUUCUGAAAACUAAAGUUCUCUUCCUGAAUGUAUUUUUUAUGUUUUAAUACGUAAUCCAAAUCUAAUUUCUUAAAUAAACGUUUUCCACACUACACACUGCAAGGUACUUCCAUUGAUAACUUAUAUUCCAUUGGACACGAGUGUAAUUUGUCUUCAAGAUUGUACAAAACUAUCCUCUGAUCAUUAUUUCCUAAAAUGGUUCGAUAUUCCGUAGCAGAUUUAAUUUGUGACUUCCUACAUUUUGUAACUAUUCAUCCUCAUAUACUUAGCAAGACAUUGUAUUGACCCACAACUUCCGCAAAUGGUCAUGUACCAUACUCGAGUGGAGAUUUCAAAUAUCCUAUUCAAAUUAAAUAUUUAGUAUGAACUGGAUUUAUUAUUGUUUGUUCAUUCUAUA